rnacentral:piRNA from 1 species
UGCUGCCGUGGAUGUAUGUUUGUC